CAGACGCAGCUCGCCAUAGACCAGGGGCGGGAGGGAGAUUGCGUGUCCCACGGUGAGCGCAGGGCGCGCGGGACUGGAAACCGAGGACGCGGCUCGGGAGUCCUGAGGGGCGCGGCCCCGGAGCUCCAGGAGGGCGCCUGCGGACCGCGCAGCCCCGGGCCGGCCGCCUGGCCAACUGGAGCACCCCAGCGCACCGCGCACACUUGUGCGCCCGCACACCCACAGCCACCGGAGGGGGCCGCCGCCGCCGCCCGGGCUCCCAGGGCCCCGCGCCGCCCCGCGCAGCCCCAGGCCUCGGCCCACAGCUCGGCCGCCGGCCCACCUGGCGCAGCGCCGCCCUCGGAGCCUGCGCACACCGGUGCACCCGCGGCCGCCGGUGGGCCCAGCGACGACGCAGCGCCAGGUCCCAGGGCCCGGCCCGCCCCGGCGCUCACGCUCUCGGGGCGGACUCCAGGCCCUCUGCGCCCUCCCGCGCGGCGAUGGCCCCGCUAGGAUACUUCUUACUCCUCUGCAGCCUGAAGCAGAUUCCGGGCAGCUACCCGAUCUGGUGCCAGCACUACUGAAAAUUCCACUACUGAAAACCACAUCUGGGGGGAGGACUCAAGAUGGCGCUGUGAGAACCACCCAGGAUUGAAGCUCUUGCUGGAUGCACGGAGAGGGUGAGUCGGGGACGCGUUUCCAGACGGAUCUUAGUUGCCCACAGAACGGGGAAAUUCCCAGGUAUAAAAGAGAUGCGGGACGCCAGGCAGAGGUCUCGGCUGGUGUAGCCGGCAGCCGGUGCAGCUCCGGCCCGCUCCACAGCGCUCCAUACAAAAGCGCACUGUUACGGGUGCCCUGUUGAACCGGCAAACUGAGACCUGGGAGGGCUAAACUUGAGACUAAACGGGACUUGGGCAGUGAGCCAGCCCAGGAAAUCCCAGGGACAAAGCGUUUGGGCUAGUGCAGUGCGACAAACAAAACAGCGAUUCCAAACCCUCCCGGUGCGGAGGUUUUCUUAAAGCGCAGCUCCGCGGGGGAGGGGCGUCCGCCAUUACCGAGGCAAUCAGCCCCCACUGAGGUACAUGCCCAUUGCUGACACAGCCUGCCAUUGCCAAAGCAACCCGGUACAACAGAGAGACUCCGCUACAGGGCGUAGCCCGUGGCAAUGGGGCGGAGACCGUGGCAACAGGGUGGAGACCGCAGCAAAAGGGCAGAGCCUGCAGCAACAGGGUGAACCUCACACUAGCAGGGCAGAGCUUCAGCAGGCAAAUAGUGAUUUGACUGCCUCCUAGCUGGGCAGGAUAGUGAGGCAGACACUCACAAGGAAAGCCUCAACCCCCCCACCCCCAGACAGAGCAUCUGAGAAAAAAAGGGUUUU
rnacentral:lncRNA from 1 species